rnacentral:rRNA from 1 species
GACGAACGCUGGCGGCGUGCUUAACACAUGCAAGUCGAACGGAAAGGCCCUGCUUUUGUGGGGUGCUCGAGUGGCGAACGGGUGAGUAACACGUGAGUAACCUGCCCUUGACUUUGGGAUAACUUCAGGAAACUGGGGCUAAUACCGGAUAGGAGCUCCUGCUGCAUGGUGGGGGUUGGACAGUUUCGGCGGUUGGGGAUGGACUCGCGGCUUAUCAGCUUGUUGGUGGGGUAGUGGCUUACCAAGGCUUUGACGGGUAGCCGGCCUGAGAGGGUGACCGGGCACAUUGGGACUGAGAUACGGCCCAGACUCCUACGGGAGGCAGCAGUGGGGAAUAUUGCACAAUGGGCGGAAGCCUGAUGCAGCAACGCCGCGUGCGGGAUGACGGCCUUCGGGUUGUAAACCGCUUUAGCCUGUGACGAAGCGGGAGUGACGGUACUGGGUAAAGAAGCACCGGCUAACUACGUG